CAGUCGCCGCGGUAAAACGGAGGGUGCAAGCGUUAAUCGGAAUUACUGGGCGUAAAGCGCACGCAGGCGGUCUGUCAAGUCGGAUGUGAAAUCCCCGGGCUCAACCUGGGAACUGCAUUCGAAACUGGCAGGCUAGAGUCUUGUAGAGGGGGGUAGAAUUCCAGGUGUAGCGGUGAAAUGCGUAGAGAUCUGGAGGAAUACCGGUGGCGAAGGCGGCCCCCUGGACAAAGACUGACGCUCAGGUGCGAAAGCGUGGGGAGCAAACAGGAUUAGAUACCCGAGUAGUCCCUGUCUCUUAUAC
rnacentral:rRNA from 1 species